rnacentral:lncRNA from 1 species
GCUUAUUCAGCUUUUACACGUCUAGUGUUAACACCCUAGCACACGCUACUGAAAGAUUCCUAAGCUACCCGCUUAUGUCUCUUCUCCAUCAAGUACUUCAGCCACUGCUUCAGCACGACCCAAAAAACACCUCCAAUAGCUUUUCUCUCUCUAUAAGAUCAGCCUCCGUGUCUCUGUCUCUCUACAGAUGACUCCAUAUCUAUCUUAUAGUUAUUCUCCAUGUUCCCGAAACCCUAGUUUCCAAGGCAACAUGUAUGGACAUCUUCCAUAAC